rnacentral:rRNA from 1 species
UUGGAGGGCAAGUCUGGUGCCAGCAGCCGCGGUAAUUCCAGCUCCAAUAGCGUAUAUUAAAGUUGUUGCAGUUAAAAAGCUCGUAGUUGAAUUUUAGGCCUGGCCAGGCGGUCCGUCUUUGGCGAGUACUGUCUUGUUGUCGGGUCUUCCUUCUGGUGAACCAGUAUGUCCUUUAUUGGGUGUGUUGGGGAGCCAGGACCAUUACCUUGAAAAAAUUAGAGUGUUUAAAGCGGGCUAUUGCUUGAAUAGAUUAGCAUGGAAUAAUAGAAUAGGACGUUUGUGGUUCUAUUUUGUUGGUUUCUAGGACCACCGUAAUGAUUAAUAGGGAUAGUUGGGGGCAUUAGUAUUCAAUUGUCAGAGGUGAAAUUCUUGGAUUUAUUGAAGACUAACUAUUGCGAAAGCAUUUGCCAAGGAUGUUUUCAUUAAUCAAGAACGAAAGUUAGGGGAUCGAAGACGAUCAGAUACCGUCGUAGUCUUAACCAUAAACUAUGCCGACUAGGAAUCGGGCGUCGUUAUUUUCACGACUCGCUCGGCGCCUUACGGGAAAC